GGAUGAGUGGAGCUUGCUCCAUGAUUCAGCGGCGGACGGGUGAGUAAUGCCUAGGAAUCUGCCUGGUAGUGGGGGACAACGUUUCGAAAGGAACGCUAAUACCGCAUACGUCCUACGGGAGAAAGUGGGGGAUCUUCGGACCUCACGCUAUCAGAUGAGCCUAGGUCGGAUUAGCUAGUUGGUGAGGUAAAGGCUCACCAAGGCGACGAUCCGUAACUGGUCUGAGAGGAUGAUCAGUCACACUGGAACUGAGACACGGUCCAGACUCCUACGGGAGGCAGCAGUGGGGAAUAUUGGACAAUGGGCGAAAGCCUGAUCCAGCCAUGCCGCGUGUGUGAAGAAGGUCUUCGGAUUGUAAAGCACUUUAAGUUGGGAGGAAGGGCAGUAAGUUAAUACCUUGCUGUUUUGACGUUACCAACAGAAUAAGCACCGGCUAACUUCGUGCCAGCAGCCGCGGUAAUACGAAGGGUGCAAGCGUUAAUCGGAAUUACUGGGCGUAAAGCGCGCGUAGGUGGUUCGUUAAGUUGGAUGUGAAAGCCCCGGGCUCAACCUGGGAACUGCAUCCAAAACUGGCGAGCUAGAGUAUGGCA
rnacentral:rRNA from 2 species